UGGGGAAUAUUGCACAAUGGACGGAAGUUUGAUGCAGCGACGCCGCGUGGAGGGUGUAGGCCUUCGGGUUGUGAACUCCUUUUUCUCGCGAAAAAGGCACAGUUUUGGCUGUGUUGAUGGUAGUGGGGGAAGAAGCGCCGGCUAACUACGUGCCAGCAGCCGCGGUAAUACGUAGGGCGCGAGCGUUGUCCGGAUUUAUUGGGCGUAAAGAGCUCGUAGGUGGUUCGUCGCGUCUGUCGUGAAAGCCAGCAGCUUAACUGUUGGUCUGCGGUGGGUACGGGCGGGCUUGAGUGCGGUAGGGGUGACUGGAAUUGCUGGUGUAGCGGUGGAAUGCGCAGAUAUCAGGAGGAACACCGAUGGCGAAGGCAGGUCACUGGGCCGUUACUGACACUGAGGAGCGAAAGCGUGGGGAGCGAACAGG
rnacentral:rRNA from 1 species